CAUGUGCUGCCUCCUGUGCCAGUUAGGGCUGCUGCUUCCCCACUUCCCUCUGCUUGUUGGGAAUGAGCAGAACCUCUGACUCAGGCCUCUGCUGGAAGAACAGUGGUACUAGGCAACCAGCACUUGCCUUCUGUGAUGGGGACACAGAUCUGAUGAGACAGAAGUGAGCAUUCAUUCUGGGAGCAGAAAUGAUGUGGCCUGAUUCAUUCCCCCACACAGUGGGGGAUGCUUGAGUUACCAGGAUGAAGACUUUAAAACUCACAGAGAAUAGAGGCUCAACCUGCUAAGGUUGCACAACUAGUCAGAAGACUGAAGCCAUCUCCAUUCAACCCUGAGACCAAGCUCUGUCUUGCAUCCACAGAUUUGUUAAUAAAAAAGCAAAACAA